rnacentral:rRNA from 1 species
CAGUCGUACCGGCGGAUAAUCAGCCUUUCGGGUGCGAUUCUGUGGGGCGUGGGGAGCUUAACCGCCUUCAUGUUUUGCAUAUUCGUGCACAUUUGGUGUACUUGUCCGUGUGGUGGGUUAACAUCAAUUUCGGUCGUCAUAAAAUGAUUGGAGGAAUGUAGCUUUGGUCUCGUAUCGAAGUGUUAUAGACUCUGGUAGAUGUGACGAUUGGGGAUUGAGGGAUUGCAACGGAUACCCUUCGGGGCUACUCGUCUGAUCUCUGAAGGUUGCUCCGGUACCGAAGCGUGCUUACGUCA